UUAAAUUUGCAUGUACUAUGUUAGUUUUUUUUGGUUAACGGAGAAAGUAUUCAUUACUUCAAAUCAAAAGCUAUCCUUAGAGGACAAAUAGUAUCUCCUCUAUUAGUAGAGGUUACAUCUAAUGGUCUUGGCCAUUCGCCAUUAAUAGUAACAAAAUCAUAGGAAUGUUCAGAUUCAAAAAGAUGAUUCGAGGUUGUAGUUAUCUUUCUAGUGUAUGAAGUCCUCACAAUAUACGCUUCUAUAUCCUUCUGCACAAAUAUUGGGGGCAUUUUGAACAUUAUCAGCUCGAUAGUUGCAUCAACCCUGGAGCCCUCCUUGGCUAGUACAUUCGCUACCCUAUUCUAUUCCCUGUCUAUAUGUAUGGCCGUUGAGGUUCCCAUCAGCUGCAGCAAGUACCUGCAUUCACAAAUGAUGUUAGCAUAUAUUAAGCUACCUGAGAAGAUGAUUUGUAUGACUAGGGAUAGGUCACAGUUUAAUAAAGUGGCUUGAGGCUUCUAGCCUUAGCAAGUCUAUGUCCGUGCAGUAUGCCCAGGAGUUUAGCUUAGACAACAUUCGUGUUAGGACAGUGUUUCAUGUAACCCACUAUCCAAUUGCCCUGGUGGUCCCUAAUUACUCUCUUGUGCCACCAUUUUUUUCAAUUAGGCCCGUUGCACCAUUAGAGUUCAGGUUGCAGUGACUAGGCGGGGAGGCUUUGAUUUUACCUGUGUGGUGAUCCAUCCCCCUUUACUCUUAGAGGGGUCCAGGGCUAUAUGGUGGUACUCAAUAGCACAGGCUAUGACAUGAUUGGGGUCAGGGGUGGUAUGUUUGGAGUUAAAAAUGAGAUCAUUUCUGCUAAGCCAGAUGUUCAACAGGCUGAAGGAGAUAAUGUUAUCCCAGGGGAUACUCUGGUUAAAUAGUUUUCCCUUUAGGGAAGGCCAGGUGGUAAUUCAGUUGGGGAUGGUCAAAGAAGAAAAACCAAAGGAUGCUAUGGUGGUACUAACUAAAGCCACGCCAUUCCAGAAGUAGGAUGCUCUGGGGCAUUGAAAGAGGAUAUGAGAAUUAUCCUCUUAAGGGUGGCCGCAGGCUUUGCACAUAGGAAUAAUGCCAAUCCCUAUGCUAUGAAGGUAGUGGUUAGUAGGGAGUCUGUGGUGGUGUAUCAUCCAGAGAAAAGUCUUAAUUUAGUUGGGGAUUUUCAGUUUUCAAAUCUAGGUGAAGUCCUUGGGGUUUUGAUCGGUGGGAUUGGAUGGUUACUAUCAAUAAGAUAGGGCAUUUUUUGUUAAGAAUGACCUAUUGGGAUUAAGGUUCUAGACCAGUUUUUCCUCACUAAGUACACCCUCAGGAAUGCGGGUGUCUUUUAUAGUGUUAACAAGAUGAUCCAAGUUCUGGAUGGAGAUCUUGGAGAGGUCUCAUUUCUCCUCAAUCCAGGUGUCCUUAAUUUUAAGGCAUUCUUUUUUCCUGAGUAAGAGGGUACUCAAUGUAUUCCCUCAAUGUCUCAUAGUUUGGAAGCUAGGAGUCCCCAAAGAGGUUAAUUCUGUCCCCCUUUCCCAGUACCCAUUUAGAGGCCUUAGUACAGGUGUUCCAUCCUGCUUUAAUGUAUUUCUAAGUUCUGGAGACAAUGGGCUCGCCUCUAUUUGUUCACCUAUUGUGGCAAUACUUGAUGUAAAGAAUUCUGGCCCAGAGAGCCUGGGUAUUAUAGUACAUUCUUCAGGCAAGGCCAUCAUAAUAGGAUUUGUUCUUGACUUUAUUUUUUUCUUAACCCCAAACCUCCCUCUUUCUUGGGUUUGGUAAUGGUAUCCGAACUGAGUAAAUAAAGCUUCCUCUUUUCAGUUGUAAAGCCCUAGAUGAAGUCCCUUUGGAUUUUGUCAAUAUCUUUGAGGGUCUGGGCAGGGUGUUAGAUGUAUUGCAUCAUAUGGAUGGGGAUGUGAAAUACCCUGGUUUUGGCUCUUAGAAAUAUUUCCUGGAAUUCUAGUUUGUGGACCCAAUAUGACUCAAGGGUACGAGCCGUAUAUUGGGGUACGUAUGGUAUGGUCCAGUCGUAUACUGACCAGUGUUAAUUAGUGGGAUGGAUUUUGAUCACUAGAGUUGGUAUGACUUGAAUGGUACAAGUCGUAAGAUUGGAUAUGAAUUGUUUGGUUUGGGUUUUCCUUAGUUUAAUUUUAUACUUGUCGCUUAAGUUGGAUCUGAGCAUGAGUGGCUCACCAUGAGCCAUAAGUUAGGGUAAGAAUCAUACUAGGGACUUGUAUGGUGGACAGUGUUCAAACCUUCUGUGAUUCUAUCUAGCCAAAGAUACAGGUGAAGGGUACGGACGUAUGUUGUCAAUACGACUUGUGUAGGACGAGUCGUACACUGGACAGUGUUGGCUCCAGGGGUUGAGGCUUAGGAUACAAGUAGUGGGUACCACUUGUAUCGAAGGGUACGAGUCGUGAGGGUCAGUCCUAUCCCAGUGAUAGAAUUUUUGUGCAAUUUAAGUGGGGGUAUUUUGGAUAUUUCCCCACUUACCCUAUAAGUCCCACGAAUUCUAACUCAUUUAGGAGGUUAUUUACCCUAUUAUUCUAUUCAUUAACUCUUAAAAACUCUUUCUUAACACUAUAAUUCUCUCAAGAGCUUUUGAGCAAGGAAGCUGGGAUUUUAACUAGAGGACUAAUUUGGGGAUUUUGUUAGUGGUUUCUCUCCGUCUAUUUUGUCAAUUAAGGCAUGUUCUCUCCCCUCACUGUUAGUUCCAACUAAAGGCAUGGUUCUUAUAAAUGGUUUUCAUGAUUUCAUUGUUGUAUGAUUUUGGAUUUUCAACUAUAAUUUGGGGUUUUUGAUUAUAAAUGAUUGCUUAUGGGUUUCCAUGGUUUAAUUAUGUUUUUACAUGCUUAAUUGGUGUUUUUGGAUAAUUGAAUUGCAUGUAAAUGGUUAAAUGGUAAUUGGAAUUGGUUUUGGUUAUAUUAUGCCCCCUAUGUGUUUGACAAAAUAAGGAUAUUUUCAUUGCAUUGAUCAUUUUUAAUGGAACUCUUGCUUGUUUUAAACUUAGUAAAGGAAUUAUCAUGGUUUAAAUGGUUUAUAAAGGUAAAAUGGCUAAAUGGUUAUGCUUAUAGGGUACAUAGAAAACCCCCAAGUGAUUUAAUAUGAUUAAUGAAAGGGUACAUAGAAUCCCUUAAACCUAUAUAUGAUUGGCUAUGGACAAAACUUGUAAGUAUAGUCCGUAUGACGAUGCCACUACUAAUGGCCUUGGUUAAUAAAUGGUUAAUGGAUUACUUGGUUGCUUGGUAAUGGUUUAAUUGGGUAAUAAUGGUGGGGUGUGUAGCAAAGCCGUGUAAGGUGGAGGUCCCGGGGGGACCAAAACUGAAAACUCAUAUUUGCCAAUGUAAGGUUUGGUCCAAGUGACCGUGUGCAUGAUUUCACACUUUAUAUUUGGGGGAUGUACUAGUCAUCCCAGGUUUUCUUCCCUAGUCGUGUGGCUUCACAAACUGGGGCCCUUUCAGCAGGGGAAGCUGAACCCAUAUAGCUCGUGGAUGGUUUAGGACGACAAAGAUAUAAAGCCCAGGUAAAGGUUUUAAUGGCAUGCUAAACCCAGUUUUCUUUCUCGGCAUGGUUAUAUAUAUGUAUGGUUGUGCACAUAUGGAUAGUUUUUACUUGGUUUUAUAAAUGGCAUUAGUUUAUCCUUAUCCUGAGUUUCUGUUAGCGCUCACCCGCUAACCCAUCUUCGGGCGGCUGUAUACCCACUCUAUGUAGGAAUCGACCGUUAUAAUCCUCCUACAUAGUGAAUGACUUGGGGACAACUGUUAGAUUGAAGUGGUGAGCUUUCAUUUUUUCGAAAGGCUCCAUUUUAUGUUAUAGAUAUUUUUAGACAUUUUGAUUCAUUUUUGGAUAAUGGUUUUGGCUAUGGUUGGGGGCAUGUCCCAAUUGAAUAUUUUUACUCUUUUAGUUAGAGGCUUUGUGGCACUGCUAUGGGUUGGAAUGAGUGGGAUCGGUAUUGGUGUCGGCCUUAAUAUUGGCAUUGGUAUUGGGGAUAACAUCAUUAGACAUAAUUUCUUAUUGUUCUAUCCUUAUUCAUUUUGGAAUUAAUCAUAUUAUGUUUUGGAUCUCAUUUGGUUAUGGCCUGGUUUAUGGCCCGUGGUUCGGUAUUGGGUUUGCUUGGUGGUUUGAUUGGUACGAUCUGGUGGACGGGAUAACUUUGUAGGGUUAGUCUAGAAAUACACCUAUCCCAAAAUCAGUCCUUGUCCAAUUAUGCUAUUUGGUUAUAUGAUCAAAAUUCAGCCGACUCAAGGUAUGCUAAUGGUGGUUGGGUUGGGUAACAGGGGUGGUCCCCGGUCCUGGUUGGACUUGGGAUGCCCAUUAUGACAAGGCUCCUGGCCAGGAUGCCUCCUAGAGUGUCCUUGGCUCAGAUUGUUCUACCAAUCAUGUUUGGGAGCUUAGAUUUCCAACCAUACAAUUUUAAAUACAUAGUGUAAAAUAUGUGCUGGAAGUCUCUAAGUUUAGGCCUGGAGUGAAGUAUGGAAAAGCCCAAGUAUUUUCCAAAGUAAUCACUCACUAACAUGUUAAAGGAAUUAGCAUAGAAGGCUUUAUUGCUAGAUGUGGAAUUUUUGGAAAAGAUCACCUUUGAUUUCAUGAUAUUGAUUUUCUGCUUAGAGGCCUCAUAAAAGUUGUUCAAGGUGGCCAUAAUCACAUUAAAGGAGUCAGGGGUGGCAGUGGAGAACAAGGUGAGAUCAUCUGCAAAGAAGAGAUGAGAGAUAUUUGGUCCAGAAAUAGAUAUAUUGAUAGGGGGCCACAGUCUCUCCUGAACAGCUUUGUCAAUCUCCCUAGACAAUCUCUCCAUACACAAGAUGAAAAUGUAUGGAGAGAUGGGGUCCCCUUGUCUUAUACCCUAGGAGAGAAGGAAGCACUCACUUUUGGAGCUAUUUAUGAGAAUGGAGAUAGAUGAGGUGGUGAUGCAAGACAUGAUUAGCUUUGUUAUUUUAUGGGAAAAGUGGAAGAAAAGGAGGGUUUCCUUGAUGAAUACUCAUUCAAGCCUAUCAAAAGCCUUCUCAAGGUCUAUUUUUAAGAUCAUGUUAGCUUUUUUCCCUUGCAUCUUCUGAAAAUGGCUAUCAUAUUCUUGCACUAUUAUAGCAUUAUCAGAUGCUCUUCGCGUAACAAGGAAGCUAGAUUGGCUAGGUCCAAUGAUGUUUGAGAGACAUUUCCUAAGUCUCUAAGCAAUAAUUUUGGUUACAAUUUCAUAGGUUGUGUUGCAAAGGCCUAUUGGUCUGAAGUUCUUUAUCAUGGUGGUAUUCUGACAUUUAGGGAUGAGACCAAGAAGGUUUUUUUGUUCGUGUCAGAAUGGAUGGUGCCACUAUUGAAACGCAAAACUGAAUGGUCUUUUUCUUCACCUCAUUCUAAUAAUUUUGGUAUAGAAGUGGGUGUAGCCUAUCUGGACCAGGAGAUUUCAAGGCUUUGAAGAACUUGAUGGCCUAGUAGAUCUCUUGGUUCUCCAGGAGGCAUCGAGAAAGAUCUCAUGGGAGUAGUGUCUAGUAGCAUUCUCCAGAAGGGGAGAGGGGGCAUCUAGCUUGGAAUAAGAGUGUCUGGUAGAGUACAAGCUUUUGAAAUAUUUGGUUAUGUGAUUUGGUUAUGUGAUCCUCAACUUUCUUAGCCUCAUGGUACCAAGCACCACUAUCAUCUUUAAAGGAGUUAAUUUUAUUCCUUCUCCUUCUAUUAAUAGUGAAGUUGUGAAAAAACCUAGUAUUAGAGUCACCCUCUCUUAGCUAAUUAAUUAUGGACUUAGUUUUCCAGAAUUCCUCCUCAAGUUUAAGCAUAGUGUCAUACUAAGCCAGUAGUUUCUCCUCAAGUUGUCAGAGCAAGGUAUUGUGGUAGUAAUUGGGAGAUUUUUGAAUACCUGCAAUUUUGGCAUUCAACCUCCUCAUUUUAAGGAAUAUGUUACCAAAGGUGGAUUUAUUCUAUUGGGUAACAUUGUCUUGGAAAUUUUUUAUGGAUGCCAAAAUAGAGGCAGCGGGGAAAAGGACUGGUGGACCACAUCCUUGAGAGUAGGGUAUCCACACACAUCAACUUAGGGUGUCCACACCAUAUCAGCUCAAAUAUGAAAGGACUGUUAAGGGUGUUGGGUCUAUCCUUGAGCAGGUUAAUUAGGAGAGGGCAACGGUCAGAAUGGGUCCUGGGUAGGUGCGUUACACUAACUUCAGGGUAGCUUAGGAUCCAAGAGUUAUUAGCAUAGAACCUGUCUAAUCAUUCAAGGAUAAGACUUGGCUUAUUCUUGUACCUCUUAUUGGUCCAAGUAUAUUUGUUGCCCUUAAAUCCUAAGUCGACCAUCCUAGAUUGAUUGAGGUAGUGUCAGAUAAUGCUGCUCUCCUAUGAUUUAUCCAUCUUCCACCUAGUUUAUUCCUAGUUUGGAGGACUUCGUUAAAAUCCCCUUCUAUGAACCAGUCAUCAUCGAAGUUCUAGGAUAUCUGCAUAAGGUCAUCCUAAAGGAUGGUUCUAGUUUCAAAGGAGGUGCUAGCAUAAAUAGCAAAAACCAGCCAGAGUUUGGGAGAGUCGCAUAUCUUGACUGUCACAUGGAUACCUUGAAGGGUAAUAGAGAUAUUGUCAACCUUCAACAGGUUCUCCUUCCACAUAAUCACCAUCCCACCAAAAAGUCCUUCAGAAGAGGACUUAAUCUAAUAAUCAUACCCCAAGGUUUGAGUAAGUCUAUGGUUCUCAGUCAGUUUAGUUUACGAAGUACAAGAAUGGAAGGCUUGUACAUUUUGACCAUGGUUUGGCAUUGUCUCCGAAAGCAGGCACUAUUCGCCCUCCUAAUAUUCCAGAUAAUAAAGCACAUUGGGUUAGAGGGAUAGAAGGUGUUGUCCAUCGCACUCUUCUUUUUCCUAUCUGGGUGAGUGAAUGAGAAUAGCUUAGAGGAUUCAGGAUUACUGCAGGGAGUAUAUCUUGUCUCUGGUUCUUUAAGUUCAGCAUCAUCGUUUGAAGAGUCAUCGGGAAAAGGGCCAAAAUAGCUUCCCUGAAUGGCCCUUUGAAACCUUUCAGAAAAAUUCCUCCUAGAAGAAUGGUUUCUACUCUUUGUUCAUCCAAUGCGUUCAAGAGUUCCUCCAUCUCAUGGUUGUUUUACUGGAGUAGCUCCAGAAUCGACGGGUUUUGCCCUUCUUAGCCGUCGUCCCCACCUUGGUUUUUCUGGGAAAGAGCUGGUGGAAUGUUGGGUUUUGGGCUUCCUAACUCUGGGACNNNNNNNNNNNNNNNNNNNNNNNNNNNNNNNNNNNNNNNNNNNNNNNNNNNNNNGUGGUGGGGUCGGUCUGUUUGAGGCGGGGGGGGGGGGGGGGGGGGGGGGGGGGGGGGGGGGAAGGGAAUUUGUUGUUGAGGUUAGUGCAACAGAGUAUUGAGCUCUGCUGAGGGAAUGUGAUUUAGGUCCCCAGAGGGUUGGGCUUGCAGGAUUGUUUGCAUCUAGAGGUGUUGUCCAAAGUUCGUUAGAGCAAGAUUCGAGCUCUCCUUUUUUACUAGAGCUAGGUAGCGUUGGUCGUUGACCACCACUAUUAUCUGGUGAGGCCCAAUGUUGAAGUUGGUAAAACAGUAUUGAAAAAUUAAAGAGUUUAAAUUUUGUGCACUGUCAGUGUAUAACUUUUUUUACAUCAUUAGAUAAUUUUAAAGAUAAUACAUUUAUUUUCAUUUUGUAAUUGUAAUUUAUGACCAAAAAUAAAGAAAAAUAGAAUUCUCAGUUACAAAAAUACUUUCUUUUUCCAAUAUAAUUAUACAAAAUUUGACGUUUUCCAUAUUUUUAUAUCAAUGAAGCACUUAAUUCUUAAAUAUUUUUUUUUUAAUAAUUGAAUGCUAUUUAUUGAAGUAUUAUUUUUUGUCAAUUCAUGGUAAAUCAACCAUUGAAGUAAUUCUCCAAUCUUCAAACAGAAUAACAAAGUAAAUAAUUUGUCAACAUCUCAAAUAUUUAAUCAUUAAGAACUUUUGUGACUUUCAUUAGAAAAUAGCUACAAUUUUUUAUGAAUCGAACUUGUAGCGGCGACUAUAUUCCUAUCAACACUCUGACUAGCUUGGAGUUCUUUCUUGUGUAAAGUCUUUUCUCAAUAUUCCAUUUUUGUUAUUCCUGGAUUAAAUCUUUUCUCAAGACUCCACUUUUUUAGUUCUUUAAAAAGAUAGAGAAGACUAGUUACACAGGAUUAAAAAGACGGAGAGAGGAAAAGUUAUGACCUAUAAAGAGGGAGGAUUUCAAGGGAUGGGGAAAACUACUUUUUGAAUUUUGGAAAAAGAACAUUAGAAACAAAUUGUUACUUGUUAUACCUGAUGGUUCAUAAAAUUUAAACUCAAAAUUAAGAUGGGCGAUAAUACUUCACAGUAGGUAAACUACGAUGAAAAAUAACUUGAAAAAUAUUUUACUAGGAAUUUGAGGGGUAGUUUUGUUAUUAAUCAAGUUAGUACAUGUGUUGAAAUUCUUUCAUUUAUUAAUUAUAUAAAAGGAUGAUAUUAAUAAUACAUAAGUCAAUACACAAUAGCAAGUUAAAAAAAUAUACCAAAUAAAGUACUAAUAAUAUACAAGAAUAAUAAAGCAUUAUUUCUUUUUAAAUUAAACAAUCCCAAGGAUAUAAAUUAGGAAAAACAACAUAAAUUUCGAUAGUUUGAAGCUUAAUUACAGAAAAUAUCAAUUUUGGUUCUGUCAAAAUACAUAAUUAACUCCUGAUACAUUUAACGAAGAUAUUUUUUUUGUGAAGACAUAAUUAUCUUCACAUACAUUUUUUCAAUUUUGAAUCUGUCAAGAUACGUAAUUAAUUCCAUGAUACAUCCAAAGAAGAUACAUAAUUAGUUGAUUACUUUGUAAGGGAGGAAAUUUGUAUAGAUAUGAUAAGUUAAGGUGUAUAUUUAUGUUAUUUUUCUAUAAAUUAAAGAUCACAAAAAAAUAAAGGUUUUCGAACUAAUGAUCCAUUUUGGAUCUUCAUAUUUGUCAUUGGAAAAAGGACACUUUGUGACCCAUUUCAAAACAAUUGGCCCAAAUUUGAUCAUUGGAAAUAAAAAGACCGAAGGGUCAUUUUCUGUCCUUCGGCUUUUUUAUUUUGAAAAAAUUACAAGUGAUAAAUUUAAAAUCAUAAUUAUAAUAAAUAGUAACACUUUCACAAAAUUAUAUUUUAUAGAAAAAGUAGCUUUUUUUUGCCCAUUAACUUCACACACGCAUGUUUCAUGCCAUUUACUUUACCUCUUCCCUAUUUUUCGUCUGAUUAACUACAGAAGAGAAAUAUAUGUCGAGUUUUUGGGUGGAAGCUUCACUUCUGCUGCCUAUCACAUGAUAGAACCACAUCCAGAAGGUAAUUUUAUACGUGAAAAAGAAACAUGGAACUUACCUAAUGCGUAUUGCUGGUAUUGCAGCUCAGAUUUCAUAUCGUGUAUCCAUUCCUACUGAUUUCUUCUAUAUACUUUACAAAAUAGGAAGUGGAGUUGUUCUUUGCAUGGAGAAGGUGUUGGUUCAAUCUAGGGUGAAGAGUGAAGAUGUCAACUAUAUAAAUGCUCAUGUUGCGUCAACCCCUGCUGGUGACCUAAACAAAUACCAGGCCAUUCUUCAUUGUUUUGGGGAGAACCCUGAAGUAACCACCCUUUUUUUCGAGAAAAGUACUCAUACAACUUGUUCUCAGCAACCGCUCUCUAAUACUCUUAAAAUGAUUUCCAGAGAACUUUUUGGUCAGGCAACUCAAGCCACUGCAUGAGGCCCCAAUUUUGGGGGGUCCACUAUACAUCAUUUUUUAUUAUAUAAAAAAUGAAGUAUAUGUUC
rnacentral:lncRNA from 1 species